UCUAUCCAUCAUCCAUCCAUCCAUCCAUCCAUCCUCGGGUGGUCCCAGGGCUGCGGCCAAGGUCCCUCAGUGCCGUGCUCGCUCCUAAACCUGCAGCAAGUGACUCCUGCCAAAAGGCAGCCUAGCUUUUCCUGCAGGGCAGGCUCUCCCCACAGCUCACUGAGGAACCUGAUCAGCCUUUCCAGCCAGGAAGGCGAUGGGAAAGCCCUGAAGGGUGUAGGGAUUUCAGGGAUACACAGCAGCACCCAUCUGCUUGGCCAUUUUUAUGCCAAAGACAAGUUGUUGGUGGUGUCUGGACUUGCCCUCAGAAGCGUCUAAGGAUGGCAUUUGAAAAUGUGUCACCACCCUUACUCAAAGAUGAGGGGAGUGGUGUUUCUCAGAAUCAGAAUGAUUGACAGUUAAUCAUCUCCUUUUUCUCUUAUGCCUUACAACUAGGAAAAGUAUUUAAAUCAUUAACUGAAAAUCGAAGUUGGAGCUAACUGCAGACUUCCACAGCUUCAUUUAAAAGAUAAGGCACUCUUUUUCACAUUCUUCUGGUAUUUUAUUUCUCAUCCCAGGGUUCUCAGAAGUAACUCCUAAAGAUUUUAUAACUUCAUGACUCAUUUUCAGGCAUACUGACACUGUGGAUCAACAGUUUCUGCAUGGAGAAACUACAUGGACGUUUCCAGUGUCUUUAAACUUUUCUGGAUUUUUUCCAAACAAAAAUGUAUUACUUCUACAUUUUCAUUUUUCAAAACCUUAUCUGAGCAUAGGGCUAUGUCUCCUUGGUAGAAAUGCUAUUUGGGUUUACAUUUUUAAAAACUCAUCUGGUAACUGAUAUUGUCAACUUUUUCAGUGGAAAAAAAAAAUAAUCCUAAGGGUUGGUACAAAGAAAAAUUUAAAUUACCUGAUUAGAAUUCAAGGUUGAGAAACAGAAAGAAUGGGAAGAUUGUGUUUGGGGAAGUUUACUUUUAAUGAUUUCAUAGCUGUGAUUCAUUUUGUCUUCUGUUGAUUUUCCACCUGCACAAACCUUUUGACAUCCACUUAGGAAGACACAAAAUCAAUAAUGGGCAGAGAAAGGCAAAAAUAUUUCAAAUUUGCCAGUAAGUAGCUGAAAAUCAGAAAAGGAGAAAAAUGAUGGAGACGUGAAACCUAUGAAAUCUAAACAUCCCACUAGGCCAAGCAGAAUUACAGGGUAUUGGAAAAUAUGACUAAGGACAUAUGGAAUUAAUUCUGAAAAUAAACCUGUCUACAUUUUUUCUUAAGGUCUCCAAAGCUGGUGCUCGGCCUAACUCAAGAUUCAGAUCCUGAAAUCAGAUUGGUUUUCUAGCAGCAGUCUCAGACUUUCUCCCUGGUAGGGAGAAUAGGAAUAAACUAUUUCUCCAAUGAAAUAGUUUAUUCCCCCACAGUCUGAAAAUGUUUGCUUUUAAAAUACACUAAUUCUGUGCCCUCAGAGGGCACAACUCUCUGUAGCUGCUUUGCUUAAUACAGAAUUUUUUAAAGGAGAUAGGAAGUGUGAAAUAGACUUCCAUUUUCAAGAAAUUCUAGACAUGGUACAAGAAAAAGAAGGAAAGAUGAAGACAAGUUAUUAUUUACAAAUGGAAGUUUAACUACCUUUAAAAAAAAAAAAAAGUACUACUGAGUUUUAUUGUUUUAAACACAGAGAUUAUGUAUCCUGUUCCUGUGAUUGAAUUCUCUCAGAAAUGUUGCUGGCAAUAAAUAAAGCUAUCCUAGUGAAACGUUAUGAUUCUGUUGCUAUGAUUACAAUGAAUAAUGCAGAGAGUCAAUGAAGUAGAUGUGUUAAUUAUACAUAUUUACAUUUCCAAAGACUCACUUCUUCUCUUGUGGGUAUCACAGUCGGCAAUACAUUGUCUCGCCACUGAGUGGAGCUCCUUACGUAUUUAUUAGUGCAGUAAAACUAACAGAGCUCCAACUGUGAGGUGACCUAGUGAUGGUUAUUUCAGCUUCUGCCUGGCAGCUGCGUGGGCACGGCACUCAACAAGUUACUAAAUGCUUAAUUCUCUAAAAUUAAUUAGCUAAACAGGUAAAUGGAAAUCUCCAAGACACAGCAGCAGGGCUUUGUUAGACCUCAAAUAUGAGUUAUUUUAAUGAAUAGCAAAACAUUCAGUGUAGUUAAUUUCUCUACCUCUGUUCUUUUAUUUUGGGGGUUUUCUCGGUUGGUUGAUUGAUUUUUUGUUUGUUUGUUUGUUUGGGAAAUGCCCUGCAUUAAUCUGCACAGCUAAUUCAGGGAGGAAAAAAAUGAAAGAAAGAAAAAGAAGAGGACUCUCUGUUUGCUGAAGGAUGAUGUGUUACAGAUGCUGCAUGCAGAUAUGUGAGAGCAAUUGCAGAGCUGUGUUGCUGGGUUUCCACAGCGGGGAUAAUUAAAAAUGAGUGCCAGCCUUGAGCAGUCAAUUAUCACUGAGUAACAAGAUGAAAGAUAAGAGGCAGAUGUAAUCAUAUUUCACAAAUAAUACAUCAGUGUGCCUCUAGUCAAGGAGUCCUUUCUACAUCAGCUUUUCACAGCAAGUGACCAUAUUUUUUCCAGUUUCCUGUAGCUUUUUUUAACAUUCAUCUGGGGAAUGUGAGUGCUCUUGUGGUGGGUGUUUGUGGUAGGACAGACUUCUACAGCGUAUCCUGAGAGCAUUUGGGUAGAAACUGGGGAUCCAUUUCCUUUCCUUGUAAGUUUGGUAGUACAGUUUGUGUGUGAUAGACAGGGAAAUGGGAUGUAGAGGAACAGGAAAGAAUGUGAAGAGGAGUGUGAGACAGCAACAGGAGAAGUGGUUUAGCAGGAGAAAUGUAAGCUGGAUAGGAGGGGAAAUGGGAGAUUUAUCAAUUCUGUACCUCACAGUUGCAUUGGUACCUUUUUUCCUGCUGAGGUCACAUAUAAGAUUAUUCUUUAACCAUCAUGUUAGUGCCAGGAUCUCAAAACAAUUUGCUCUUAUGAGAAGAACAUUGCUCCUAACGUUGUCAGGAGCUUUUCCAUCUGUCUGGAGGGCAGGGAUCCAGCACAUUCAGAGCAUGCACCAACCACAGAAUGAUAAAACCAAAAAGGGAUAUUUAAAAUUGUUUAAUCUCUGCUGUAAUAGUUUCUCUGUUCCUCAGUCUUCAGGUCCCUUUCUGUCUUUUGAGAGGUAACAGUUGGUAGUUUUGGCCAGAUAGAGAGGAGAGACGAGAAGGAAAUGAUUCAUUGAUCGAUCCAAAUGUCUUCAGAACACAGUGUUGCUAAAGUUACAGGUUCUUCAGCUGGCUGAGCAUGAAGCGGGGAGAAAUCAACAAGUUCUCAAGACAGCUUCACACCCAUCAAGAGCCUUUGAAGUUUAACAACAAAGCCUGACUCUAAGGGCAGAAUUAUUGGGCCAAGUAAGGAAAAGUCAUUAACAGUUAAUCUUAGGCGUUAUCUCAAAGUACUCAAUUUCUAUGGAAACCGAGUAUUUGGCUCUGAACACCGGGGCAUAUCCUAGGAAUUCACUGUAAGAGUAUUGGAGCAGAGCUAUCCAGUUCUGUGUCAGCCGGGACAACACUCUAGUUCUGCUUUGUCAUUUCUCUCCCCUCAUCUCCCCCACCCCGGUUUUAAAACGAAUCCUUUACCUCCAUCUAAAUCCAAAGAUUUCCAUCUUUGUAGGGACAGUAAAUCCGAAGGAAGCAGUGUAUUCUGGCAUUCUGAGAGACACUCCCUGAGAUAGCUGGGGCACUCUUGAUUUACUAAAGAGGAGCUGUGUGGGAAUUUAAUCAAGCACAGGGAAGGAAUUCUUCUGGCAAGGAAAAAAAGUCAUUUUACAGAGUCAGUAACACUCUACAGCUCCUGCAAAUCCCUUGAACAUUGUGACCACUUAAGAGUUGACAGCUGCAAACAGGUUACAGGCAAAGCUGUGUGUCACAGUAGUAUAUCCGGCAUUUUCAGCUGGCAUUUUUAUAUAAAUAAUAUGCCUAUAAAUAAUUGAUGUGAAUAUAGCACUAUUAUCAAAAAUAUGCUUCUAGUAUCUCACUUAUUGGAGACACUGAACAAACAAUCAUAUGUGAAGUGGACAAUGGGGGCAGAGUUUGGAAAGUAAUGGCUGGUAACCUAUGGAAACCAGAUGAGUAAUUUAACUGCAUGUUACAUUGUAGUGUAACAAUCAAAAAAAAUAAAAUGUCCAUUAAAAAUCUGCUCAGCACCUAGGAAUGGGCUUAUUACUACAGCUGGCAAGAGCUACAGAGAUUUCUGUCUGCAGAUCAUUAGUCAAAUAUGUGCCCACUCGAAAGACCAAAACCUGCUAUCAGUUAUUUUGUCAAAGCCCUCCUAUUGACAGCAUCACAGGAGAGGCCAAGUGCAGUUGAAUCUCAUCCUCUGAACGGCCUUCCUUCUUCUCCUGAGACUUAAAAUACAUUGGCACAAAGUUUUGAAGUUAUAUAUUAGUACAUUCAUUUCAUCCUACUGAAAAAAAACCGGAUUUGUUCUACAUGUUCCAUCACCACCUUAUCUGUCAGAUCACCAGCAUUUGCAGCACUGCUGACAGCAGCUGCGUGGAUUGCUGGAAGUGAAAUAUUUAGGGUCCUGUAGGAACUGUAGUAACCCUACCUUCCAGAAGGGCUUCAGGCUUUUACCCUGGGGCUCCUAACCAGGCUUUGAUACCUCUCUUGGCUUUCUGUGUCUUUCCUGCCUCUUUUCAGCUCCUCCGUGGCAGCCACAGCUGGUUUGCUGGACAUUAUCUUUACUGCUUUGCAAAUGCUUUGCUAACUAAAUUCAUCUGUUCCUUUCGCCCCUUUUCUCCCGCAGAAGUUGAUGACAAUGCAGCAGACUCAGAUAAAGCUGGGUUUUGGCUUUCUGUGCAAGCUUUCGGUUCACUGCCUACGAGUCUCUCGGUCUCAGGAGUGGCAGCUGCUGGUUUGAUUCCAUUUGUGAAACGCGGAGUACUCAAAGGGAAGUGAGUCUGAAGCAGAACACAGUUACUGGAUGUUUGUUCAGAGCUGUAAUGAGAUUGAGUAGAUAAAAACAAACAUAAUGCUUUCAUCGGCUCUUGAUCUGACUGCGAGAACCGUGGAAAACAGUGAUAGCAAGCACAAAGGUUUCAAGAUGAAACCUCUAUUAAUUCCUUUGCUGAGAAUCUUCAUACUUCUACCCAAAAAAAUACAGUGCUUUGCUUUUAUCUUAAGGGAUGUUACUGAAAGUAGCUCAGAUUCCACAUCCAGAUACCACAUGAUUGGCAUUAAGCUUGUAGUUGCAAAAUGUUUUACAAGUCGAUCCCUACUUGUGUAAUGCACUAAACCAAAAGCCAAACUUCCAACUCUUGAAGUCUAUAUUUGGAUUGUUUUCACUAAACAAGUUAAUUGAGUCUAAGAUUACUUCUAAAAUAUUUUCCAGAAAACUAAAUUUAGCUUUUCAACCCCAUUUCCACUAGAAAAUGAAGGUUAAAUAUUUUUGCUUUGAGAGCUGGGUUCAUUGAACUCUCCCAAGUCCUAACACAGGCACAAGCCAAAAAACGCCUUGAACCAACAGCUCAUACAAACUCCUGAGAGCCAAAUCAGCUGACUCUAGCAGAGCACAAAAGUUUUUAAACUCAUUUCAGCUUCUUUUAUGAAGAUAAUCCAAGCAGUACCAACUUGCUUUUUCCACAAGCAUCUUCUUUGCUUCUCCCAGGACAAAAUGAUAACAUUGGAGUCAAAGACUUGCAGUGUCACAGAGUCAUGGCCUAGAUUUUUUUUUGUACUGAAGCAACAGAUCUGCAAGAGAGCAAAUACUUGCUUUAUAAUAUAGAAAACAAUGUCGGAAAAUAACAGCAACAAUCAUUGUUUUUAUCUAGCCACAGUAUUUUAGAGAAGGCUGCAAUGGCCUGUCUCUCAUGUAAUGUACAGUACUCCAUUUAACAUACUUCUUUUAAUUAUUCUGUCUUGGUAAUCAAGUGCUGCCUUUGAGAGGAUGAUAAAAUUACUUUUUAUUCCCAUGCACAAACACACACAUACAAUGUAAUGUAUCAUGACCGCUUUACUCUUUUUAGAGAAGCUAAAAAAGGAGAAAUGCACAAGAGCACCCUUGUUUGAAUAAAUACUGGGCUGUCUGUAUGGAAUAACAAUUAUAUGCUGAAGCUAGAGCAGAUGUAUGGGUGUGAAUCACAUAAGGGUAGGUUGGGGAAUUAUAAUCAGCUAAACAGACCUAGGAAUCAAUCAGCAGUGGAAAUUUUUCUCUGGCUAAACAGCAGAUUUUUCUGACUAUUAUGGGGAAAGUGAUUUUUCAGCCCAUGUUUUGCAAGGGUAGUGUGAAAGUUCCCGAAGUGUAGGACAUACAUUUGUGGCACAGAAAUGUAAAAUGAAAUGAGAUCUGACACUGCCAUUGGCAGCCACUGUUGUGACUGAUGAAGAAAUUUUGUGGAUCCCUUUAGUACUCUGCAAGAAGAACAGCUCUGGAGUUAGGAUGAGACACAAAUGCUAUUUUUUCCUGGGUUUGCCAUACCCUCUGACCAAGGUCAGAUUUGGAUUAAUUUGUAUCACCACCAGGUAUCCAAGUGUUAGUAUAGUCAGUAGAAGGAGGCAAUAAAAGUAAUUUUCUUUAAAAGGUGAGGUCAGCUUCUGUGUCACAAAUGAUGCAAUGUUAUGGUGUGUCUUCAUGGGCAUUUCUGAUGUUCCUUUGAUAUUUCCAUAUAGAGGGUCAUCUUAAAUGUCCUUUGCCUACUUUUCUUCAUCAUUUCUUCAUUAUCAUGCAAAAAAAAAUCAUUCUGGUCAUUCAGUGGCUUUCCCAGCACUGUGUUUGUGACCUGCUUACUCUCUUAUUAAACAGCUUUACCUGAACCACCAACACAGACACACUCCCAAGAGCAGAGACCUGAAAAGUCAGGAUGCAAAUUUUGUCUUCAGCCAGGUCCUUUUUUCUCUUCUUGUUGGUUUUUCAUUUCACAGGUGCCAUGUUAUCUCGUGUUAGACCCUUGGAAAUGACCAAAGGCAUCGGUAAGCUCAGGGUUCUGAAGCACCCUCCAACAUCCUGCCAGAAGCAUCUUCCAUCAACUUCAGGUAGGAAGCAGAUGGACUGAGAAGAACGGGCUGUUAGCAGUGAUUACACACCCUGACCUCUUUGAUUGGAUGGCAUUUAUUCAGUGAGCCAGGGAGCCAGCAGAAAAGUCAUUUUAUCUGUGUGUUUUGUGGGCAAUCUCAGAUGAGAGUUAAGACAGAAAGGCAAAGAAACAGGACCAAAGUCUUUGCUGGGGCACUGCAGGGAAAUGUGGGGUCUUGCAGUCGAGCUCUUGCUGCUCUCAUACCUCCUCUGAGUGGAGACUUGACACUAAUGUUUGUAAUUUCAUCACAAAUGCAUUACUCUACCAAAAGAUUUUAUUAUACUCCAUCCAGCAUUGAAGAAAGUUUCUAUACUAUUAUCCCUUCUACAGAAAUUCCACAUGCAUUAGCUGCUUCCCAAAAGACAUGUAGCUGCUUCUGGCAGCUAACUGAUUUCUAGCCCUGGAAUUAAAAUAAUUCCAAAUAAUGGGGAAAAUGUAUGGUAUUCCAGAUUUUUGAACAACUUCUAAAAUAAAUAUAAGUCUUUUCCAAUAAGCUUGGAUAUGAUUAUUGAGCAGUGACUAAAAACAAUCAAGCCUAUUUCUAGUGGUAACUGAAAUUUCCAUUUGUUUCCAGUAAAUCCACUGGGCAUUUGUAAGGUGAUACCUGAAAGCAGAUUGAGCACUUACUUCUAUUUCCACAAUCUUUAUUGGGUAGAUUAAAUCACUACAUAAAACUUAGUUAAUUGGAGAGAAGAUGGUGCAAUAAAAGCAGAAACCAAACCUAGUGCAAUCCAACCCAGCAAUCAUACGUGGGCUGUCUGUUGCAUCCUGUUUUAUAGACAAUAUUGCUACUCCCAGGGAUGGGGGAUUCCCACCUCUCCAAAUUUAUUUUACACACACAACAAACCUGUCACAUACGGGCUCCAGAACAUGACAAUCUGCAAAACUAGCCUGGAGUGGCUUCUGACUGCCAAAGAAGCACGUAUUUAUUAAUGGAAAUCACAAGCUUCCCUCAGAGAAAUAAGUCCACCGUGAAUUUCAUGGAAGCAAUAGGAGCCUAAAGAUAACAGUGUAUACUGGAAGCCUCUCCACUUAUCACAGUAUUUCAUCCUCCUGUUUUUAGACAAAAAUCAUUCUCAGGAAAUAGUAAGACUUGCAAACAUUUCUGCUGCUGGAUUAACUGGAUAUUGAUAAGACAGAAGGGCAAGACUUUCCUGUGGCACAGGAUAGAACCUGUGUGUCAAUACUCAAACGUUUGAUGGCAUUUUGAUGGAAUUUCUAACCAUUGGUGCAGAAAACCUGCUUGCAGCACAAAAUGGGACAGGCUAAUGAAGAGUUUGGCCACUACAUGGGAGUCAUUCAUUCCCUCUGUCAUGGUUUAAACCCAGGCAGGCAGCAAGCGCCACGCAGCUGCUUGCUCGUCCUUGGCUCAGCAGUAACUAAAACAUCUCUACAUUAUCAACACUGUUUCCAGCACAAAUCCAAAACACAGCCCCAUACCAGCUACUGAGAAGAAAAUUUACUCUACCCCAGCCAAAACCAGCAUGCUCUAUCUAAAGCAUUGUGAGAUCAGUAAGGAGCAAGAAUUCCUUUUCUGCCAAGCUGCCCUGGACAGAAAUCCUGCUUCAGUAGUUACAUGAUACCACUUGGGGAAAAUGGAGUGAUACCAGCUAUACAUCAAGUAUGAUUGUUUGGAUAUGUAAUUUUCCACAGAAGGAUCCAGUGUCAAAAAUUCCGGAGUAUUUAAUGCUUGAAUGAAGAACCAGUUAUUCAGAUUAAUGGUGUGCCGUGCCAAAAUAACAGUAGCUGCCUCCCAGAGCAAUCUGUUCAGUUAGAAUAUAUUUUCUUCCUUCCAUCCAGAUGUUGAUGUGAUCAGAAAUAUUAGCCAAUUUAUUAAGUUCAGAAGCAGCAUGGCCAAAGUUCAUCCUUAAUCUCCAUCCCAUUUCCUGGUAUCCUGCCAGAAGAGAUCCUGACUCCAGCAGCCCAUCAGUUACCACGGCUGUCCAAAGGUAAAGACAACACCAGGGUUUAUGCUGGAGAAUGCAGUAUCUUAUUUUCAGGGGGAUUAGAAGCUACAGAUAUUUUGUGUCUGAUCUUUUUAGCUUCAGGUCUACUCUGUCUGCCAGUUUGAGGGUCAGAUGCUAAUCUUCAAAGCCAUCAGCAAGUUUUAAUCUCUUUAAUAUUGGCAGAGAAUCGCUAUCUGCACUAUAGCUAAAGAGCUGCAUCCUCUCAGGAAAGCAGCUCAGAGUGUCCAGGACAAAGUACACUAAGGCUGAAGACAGAUGGUGUUGGCAGAGGGGCUUCACUACUGGGUAAUCUCCUCAAGGAGGUCACACACUCAGCAGUCCUGAACCAUAAAACCUUGUCUUCUUUCCAAACUUACCUGUUUUCCCUCUGGAAUGUUCCACUCAUCUUUCUGCUACAUUUUUUUUUUUUUUUCUUUUUUCAAUAUCAGAAACAGAACUGUGAGCUAAUGUUACUCAGAUUUAUUUACAAUCUCAGAUGAGCCAGCCUGCUGUCAUUGAAAUGCACUUGCACAAUAAUUUUAAAAAAUUAUGUUGCUUAUUUUGAGAUACUUUUGUCAGACAUGAUGGAAAUAAAUGCUGUUGUUAAAA